GAUGAACGCUAGCUACAGGCUUAACACAUGCAAGUCGAGGGACCGGCGCACGGGUGAGUAACACGUAUCCAACCUUCCCUUUACUCGGGGAUAGCCUUUCGAAAGAAAGAUUAAUACCCGAUAUAAAGGAUGGGGAUGCGUUCCAUUAGGUUGUUGGUGAGGUAACGGCUCACCAAGCCUUCGAUGGAUAGGGGUGCGGAGAGGAAGGUGGCCCAAAAUGGAACUACGACGCUGUCCAAACUCCUAGGGGCGGAAGGAGUAAGGAAUAUAGGUCGAUGAGCGCUAGCCUGAACCAGCCAAGUAGCGGGAAGGAGGAAGGCGUAGGAAUCGUAAUCUUCUUUUAUAUAAGAAUAUGUAUUAUAUGAAUAAGGACCGGCUAACUCCGUGCCAGCAGCCGCGGUAAUAC
rnacentral:rRNA from 1 species